UGGGGCGGCUUAGUACCGAAUUUUGACAAAAACAUGCAAAUGGUGAUACAAGCAAGGGAUUUGGCAUAGACGUUCAUUAGGGAGUACCUUAUCAUACUAGAGGGGUAGCCAACAUCUUUUUAUUUUUUUUUACGGCGGCCAUCUUGAAUUCAAAAUCGACAUCAUUUAGCUCAAUCUUGGAGAUUGAAAAACUGUCCUAACC
rnacentral:lncRNA from 1 species